AUGGCUAUAGCUUUGCAGAGCACCCUGGAAGUGGUGUGGUUAGGGCUCCUCUUUUGCUCUCUCUGGAAGGUUGCCGAGAGCAAGGACCAGGUAUUUCAGCACUCCACCAUGGUAUCUUCGGAGGGAGCUGUGGUGGAAAUCUCCUGUAAUCACUCUAUAUCAAAUGCAUACGACUUCUCCUGGUACCUUCACUCCCCAGGAUGUGCACCAAGACUCCUUGUAAAGGGUUCAAGGCCUUCUCAGAAGGGACGCUACAACAUGACAUACGAGCGAUUCUCUUCUUCACUGCUCAUCCUCCAGGUGCAGGUGGCAGAUGCUGCCACUUACUACUGUGCUCUGGGGGACACAGAGGCAGAGAACCCACGGAGAGCUGAACAGAAACAGGGAGAAAGCACAGCCUUUACAGGAGGUAGACAAGAGAGCAGCAAUAACUGCUUCCCUCCUACCUUAGUGUUCCCCAAGCUUUUCUAUUUGGCAUUGCUAUUAAAAUGUAUUUUGAGUUCAGACACACUAUAUCAUUAA